CCGGCUCUGCGCGCGGAGCCCCGAAAUCCCGAGCUCGCUCGAAGCCGCGCGUCCCGUACCCGGGGAACCCGGCGCGAGGUGGCGCGGCUCAGGGCCUGCGGGGGUCCCAAAGAGCGUCUCGGCCGCAGGAAGAGGCGUCGCUCCCCCUCCCAGCCCGCGUGGGCGAGGCGCCGUGCGGGGAGCUGGCGGGCGCCGGGAGGGACGGGGCGCCCCGAGGCGGACACGCGCCGCAUGACGCCCCGGCAAGGGCCGCUGGCGGGGAGGAGGCCCGACGAGUCCGAGUCGGGGGCCCGACAGCUUCCCGGGGAGGGCCCCCGCGGUUCGUGCGUCCGCCCUCUAGGACGCGACGGCUCGCCCCAGGGCCGCCGCUCGGCCCAUCUUGGCCCCCGCUCCCUCCCCAGGCCGAGCACAGCGCACGGGCCUCUCCUCGCUCGGCGGGGACGCGCCCUAGGGGCCCGCGCACGGACCCUGGACUUGGAAAUGGAACCCUAAAUAAAACGGGGGAGAGAGCGUAGUGACACCCAAGGAAAGGGCGCGUCGGCAGCCUCAGGCGGUGGUCAGGGGUUCGCUGGAGGCCCAGGCAGGUGUCUGACCCCUGAGCCACGCCAAAGCCUUUGAAGAGGGGCACCGUCAAAGGUGAGCGCAUCGUAGGGUGUCCUUGACGACUGAAAGAAUCCGUGCCCACGGAGCCCUUGGGCUGGAGCUUGGCACGUGGCAAAUGCCUUAACCAACGAACCCGAGCUCAUCUUGGGACAGAGGUGGUCAGUGUGGAGAGGGCUGGAGAUGCUGGCGGAGCACAGUCCCUGGGAGCACAGCGGCGGGCCAGGAUCAUUCCAGAUGGAACUACUGGAGUAGGGCGAGCUGGUAAUCCAACAGGACUGGUGUCCUCAUAAGAAGAGAAGAGACACAAGAAGGAAGAUCAUAAGGCAGAGCAAGACACUGGACUUAUCUGCCAGAAGACACGGAACUCUUGGGCCCAGUAGAAGCCAGUAAACUCUCAUGUGACAACUUCUUCCUGCAGAACUGAGAAAGAACACAGCUAACUUACACCUUGAUUUCAGACUUCUGCCUCCAGAACUGUAAGGAAAUAAAUUUUAAGGUACGCUUUAAGGUACCCCGUUAUGGUGGACUGUGUGACAGCCCCAGGAGACUCAGAGGAUGAACACUUCUGGAGCAGAGUCAGAAGAAGCCCAGGUGGGGCGCCCAGGUGGGGUGCCCAGGUGGCUCAGUGGGUUAAGCCUCUGCCCUGGGCUCAGGUCAUGAUCUCAGGGUCCUGGGAUGGAGCCCAGCAUCAGGCUCUCUGCUCUGCAGGGAGCCUGCUUCCUUCUCUCUCUCUCUCUGCCUGCUUCUCUGCCUACUUGUGAUCUCUCUUUGUCAAAUAAAUAAAUCUUCAAAAAAAAAAAAAAAAAAAGAAAGAAGAAGAAGAAAAGGAGGCCCAGGCCCCUGGACGGUGAACUGCCACACUCCCGUCUGCCUGGCCCCCGGCUGUGGGCCAGGUUUUCAUCCGAGAGUAACAAGCCCUUGUGUGUGAGCACUGCUGGCUGUUUGGGUCUUUCUGCGAGGAGUCAACAAGUCAGAGUCCUGACUGGUGACCAGGUCCCACCCGCUACCUGCAGACCCUGGCCAGUUUCCCUGACUCCACUCCCGACGCAGGGAUUCCACUUUACAGAGGGACCUCGGCUAGCCGCCUGGAGGGUCCCUAAUCCAGUUCUCCUGGCUACUCAUCAGAGCUCCAGGGCGGGAGAGAGGUACUGCCCCAUCUCUCUGCCCUUCUUGGGAGGGAGACACUUCCCUAACAGCAAGGAGAGUGCAGCUGGGCUCCAAGGACAAGAACGUCUUUAUUGAAGGAUGCUAGGGCCAGUGGGAGGGAGACUCCAAAAGCCCGGGUCUCUCUGGGUACCCCACCGCAGGCUCCACA